rnacentral:lncRNA from 1 species
AGGAGGGAGAGAGGGAGAGGGACACAGGGAGAGUCUGGGGAAGGAGGGAGAGAGAGAGAGGAGGGUUCCUAAUAGUAGGUGAGAAACUUAAAAAGACACUAAAUUUCUCUGCUUCCCUACGUGGCCUUAAAGGCAGGUAAUUCCAUGUUUGCUUUCACUUUCAAACAACUUUACCUAUGCAUAUAGGUGAAGCCUAAAAUUAAAAUGAAUUGAUAAAAAAAAUUGAGAGGGCCCAAUUACACAAUCGAUGGAAAAGCAACACGUUUAUACCUCCCAGUCAGGAAGAGCAUUCUGAGAAAGGAGACUUGCCAGCUUCCAAAGGCACUCAGCCUUGACAGCUUGGCUACUUCACGGGCUGACUGCAGCUCAAACACCUGUUGGUAUCUUGGAGCCACAGCACAUCCAUCCUUCCCUCACGCCAACAUCAACCUGAUGCUCAUCACUGCUCUCUGCUGAAAAGCUCCAAUAAACCCAAGACUCUAAGUUCCAUCCAGUACUGAAGUUUCAUUUUAGGAAAGGUAUUUCAAACUUUGCUAAUAUGAGUUUUUUUUAAAGAAAAAACAAACUCAUUCGGGGGCUUACAUGUCAAAAUGAAAAUAGAGUCAUGCUGUUUAUUAACCAGUUUCCAAAGUGCUAAACCUAGAUGAGAUUGGAAAACUUUCAAUCUCUGACUUUACAGAAUAAACGCUUAUAAUACUUCAGAAUGAAUUGGAAAUAGUGAUUCUGCAUAAGAGAGACGAUACUUGUAAUAUGUGGCACUAGCCAAAACCAAAAGACACAAAAACAGGAGACACCCUCAAUUUGGAUUGAGGUGUCCUGCAAAGGCUUGAGGCAAUUCUUAUACCAAACGUCCAUAUAAAUCCCUCUGAAUUCAUUUUUCAUUUAUAUACACCAACAAAAACGCUGAAGAGUAGAAUACAAUAACCAAAUUGGAUUUUAAAAGUUAUUUCCUUUUAAAAUAAGCAAUCUGCUCUAAUUGUG